rnacentral:rRNA from 1 species
ACCAGAGAUUCAGUGAAAUUGUAGUGGAGGUGAAAAUUCCUCCUACCCGCGGCAAGACGGAAAGACCCCGUGGACCUUUACUACAACUUAGCACUGCUAACGGGAAUAUCAUGCGCAGGAUAGGUGGGAGGCUUUGAAGUAAGGGCUUUGGCUUUUAUGGAGCCAUCCUUGAGAUACCACCCUUGAUGUUUCUGUUAGCUA